GUGGGCUCAGCCAUGAAGCCGAGGCCGCCAGCCCAGGCCCGGGGCCGGCGCUAACCCAGGGCUGCUGCGGGCCACGGGCCCCGGCCCCGGGCGAGCGGCUCCCAGCGCGCGGCGGCCGCCCCGGCUGCUCACCAUGCCGGCCAAGCAGCAGCGCUUCCAGGAGCCCGAGGUCGGCUGCUGCGGAAAAUAUUUCCUGUUCGGUUUCAACAUUGUCUUCUGGCUGUUGGGGGCUGUGUUGCUGAUCAUAGGCUUGUGGGCCUGGGGAGAGAAGGGUGUCCUUUCCAACAUCUCCUCACUCACCCACCUGAGUGGCCUGGAUCCCGUGUGGUUCUUCGUGGUGAUUGGAGGUAUCAUGUCUGUGCUGGGCUUCGCAGGCUGCAUCGGGGCCCUUCGGGAGAACACCUUCUUACUCAAGUUUUUCUCGGUGUUCCUUGGCCUCAUCUUCUUUCUGGAGCUGGCCACAGGAAUCCUGGCCUUCGUUUUCAAGGACUGGAUUAGAGACCAGCUCAAUAUAUUCAUCAACAACAACGUCAAGGCCUAUCGGGAUGAUAUUGACCUGCAAAACCUCAUCGACUUUGCUCAGGAAUAUUGGUCAUGUUGCGGAGCCCGAGGGCCCAGCGACUGGAACCUCAACAUCUAUUUUAACUGCACUGACUGGAACCCCAGCCGUGAGCGCUGUGGGGUGCCCUUCUCCUGCUGUGUCAAGGAUCCUGCGGAGGAUGUUCUCAAUACCCAGUGUGGCUAUGAUGUCCGGCUCAAACUGGAACUGGAGCAACAGAGCUUCAUCUACACAAAAGGCUGUGUGGGCCAGUUUGAAAAGUGGCUCCAAGACAACCUGGUUGUGGUGGCUGGGGUCUUCGUGGGCAUUGCCAUGCUCCAGGUCGCUUAAUGUCCCCAGGCCUCAGAUUCUUCCCCUGUACAGAGAAGGUGUUGUACCAGCUGGCCUCUUCGGUCCUGUGAGUGAUCUUUGGCAUUUGCUUGGCCCAGAAUCUUGUGAGCGACAUCAAUGCAGUGAAAGCCAAUUGGUGAGGGCGGAGAGGGUGACUCUGAGCCAGCAGCAUCAAGGCCUCAGAGGGUGGGCAGCCCCGGCCAGGGCCACAGUCGGCUAUGCGGAUGAACUCCAGGGGUGGCUUUAGCAGGCCCACCUUGAGGGGCCCCCACCAGCACCUCGAUCAAUGGCCCUGGCACCCCUGAGCUGCUAUGGUCGGGUGGGGCUGCAGGGAGGGUAUUUAUAUUUAGGUUACAGAGAACUGUAUUGAGUGGGGAUGGGGUCUGUGUCCAUGCUGGGGUGAUGGAAGGGGUGCAGCUGUCUAUUCCCUCCCCUGGGCACAGCUGUGAAGUCCAGAGAUGAUGACAAGGACUUCUGGGGUGGCUGGUUGUCAUGGAAACAGCUCCAUAUAAUGAGGGGUAGGGGGAGAAUAAAAGGUUCUAAAUUGGGUAAUGAUUCCUGAGAGUCGUGAUAAAGGGAACAGUAUCAUUCCAUGAUGCUACCCGGACCCCAGAACCUGCUGUGAGGCGGGGAGGGAGUGUGCUGGGGAAAGCUGGAGUGGGGAGGGGUUCUGCUGUUGCCCCCACCAACCCCGUGGAGACUAAUAAACUGUCCUCACCCUCACUCA